GAAUCUUCUGCAAUGGGCGAAAGCCUGACAGAGCGACGCCGCGUGGAGGAUGAAGGCCCUCGGGUCGUAAACUCCUGUCACAUGUUAAGAACGGUGCGGGUUCACUCGCACCUUGACGAAGGCAUGAGAGGAAGUCACGGCUAACUUCGUGCCCGCAGCCGCGGUAAGACGAAGGUGGCUAGCGUUAUUCGGAUUUACUGGGCAUAAAGCGCACGUAGGCGGCCUUGUAAGUCGGAGGUGAAAGCCCGCAGCUCAACUGCGGAAUUGCCCCCGAUACUGCUUGGCUUGAGUGCAGGAGGGGUGACUGGAACUCCAGGUGUAGCGGUGAAAUGCGUAGAUAUCUGGAGGAACACCGGAGGCGAAGGCGGGUCACUGGACUGCAACUGACGCUGAGGUGCGAAAGCUAGGGGAGCGAACAGG
rnacentral:rRNA from 1 species